rnacentral:lncRNA from 10 species
AAUUAAAAUAAUUUCUGAAGAACUAAGUACUUUUAUCCUCUUAAGUCUGCAGCAGUGAUGGCUAAAUCAAACAACCUGGAGAAAGGGUGUCCUCUUACGUUGACUGGUAGAUCGCCAAGACACCUUUUUUUUUCUUUUUUUUUUUUUUCUUUUGAGACGGAGUCUCACUCUGUCGCCAGGGUCACCAGGCUGGAGUGCAGGGAUGCAAUAUCGGCUCACUGCAACCUCCGCCUCCCAGGUUCCAGCGAUUCUCCUGCCUCAGCCUCCCAAGCAGCUGGGACUACAGGCACGCCCGCCACCACGCCCAGCUAAUAUUUUGUAUUUUUUUUUUUUUUUUUUUUGAGAUGGAGUCUCGCUCUGUUGCCCAGGCUGGAGUGGAGCGGCGCUAUCUCGACUCACUGCAAGCUCCGCCUCCGGGUUCCGCCAUUCUCCUGGCUCAGCCUUCAGAGUAGCUGGGAUUACAGGCGCCUGCCACCAUGCCCGGCUAAUUUUUUUUGUAUUUUUAGUAGAGACGGGGUUUAGUAGAGACCAUCCUGUUAGCCAGGAUGGUCUCAAUCUCCUGACCUCGUGAUCCGCCCACCUCUGCCUCCCAAAGUGCUGGGGUUACAGGCAUGAGCUACUGUGCCCGGCCCAGGACACCUUCUGAUUGUAAUUUAGCUUCCUAUCUCAUGCCUCAAAAGAAUACACUGGCCUGCAGGAGAGUUAUAAUCGUCACUGAAAAUUAUUACACUGAUCUUCUGAAAUAUAAUAAAUAAAUAAAUAACCAGACUUUUCACAUGAGAAGCCAACAUGCAAAAGAGAUAUAAUAAGAUUUGGAAGAAACAUAAUGAAAAGAAAAAACUGAGAGAAGAUAGACUCAAAUGUGUAGCUUCCACAUCACCAAUUAGAAAUAAGGACACAGAUUCAACAACAGAUAGUGAUAGUGGAGAAGAACAGCAAGGGUGCCUAACAGAAGAUGAAGAGAAAAUCAAAUCACUUUUAAGUCUAAAUGGACACCUUCCCCCACAGACACCUGCACUAAGGGAGAACUCCAAGAUGAAAUGCAGAUUGCCCAAAAAGUAGGCAAGAUGGUCUCCUGGGGCACAGAAAGAACUUUUAGAACUUCUAUUUACAUUCACAUUUCAUCUCAUGCUUUUUAAAUUUAUAUUUUUGAGCAUGUUUUAUAAUGUACAUAAUUUAUUAGUUUGAUACAAACAUGUA